rnacentral:rRNA from 1 species
GUCCACGCUGUAAACGAUGUCGACUUGGAGGUUGUUCCCUUGAGGAGUGGCUUCCGGAGCUAACGCGUUAAGUCGACCGCCUGGGGAGUACGGCCGCAAGGUUAAAACUCAAAUGAAUUGACGGGGGCCCGCACAAGCGGUGGAGCAUGUGGUUUAAUUCGAUGCAACGCGAAGAACCUUACCUACUCUUGACAUCCACGGAACUUAGCAGAGAUGCUUUGGUGCCUUCGGGAACCGUGAGACAGGUGCUGCAUGGCUGUCGU